rnacentral:lncRNA from 1 species
AAAUCAGCACUAGAGACUUAGUACAAGAAUACUUGGCAAACCAAACAUUUCCGACCUCUGGCGGUUGGAGAAUGCCGAAGAAGAAAGAGGAAGGGAAAAGUAUGAGCUUGUCUGGCUGCCUUAUCAAUUUAAGUUCCAAAAACGAUUUAAGGAGCCAUGCAAUGAAUGGUUAGAAUUAAUAUAAACUAUGUGUAAUGAAAUUCUUGGAAAUUAUACAAAGAAAGAGGAUCAGUUGAUGACUGCUGCCUUCGACACUUGCCCAAAGAGAAGGUUGAACCGCAUGAUGGAUGCUCUAAACUUUAAGUAUCCUGAUUAUGAGAGACUUGAUGAAGGGGCCGAAGGAGCCAAAAUAAAAAUAAUUGUUAGCAUUCUGAAUCAACAGGCCAUUCGGUCAGUUAAGGAGGAUAAGAAGGCUUUGAAAAAGUAGAAAACUCUAUCGGAGCCGAAGGAAUCGUUUCCCAAGGAACGAAAACUUGUCAAGAUAUCUUCUGAGGAGACGAAGGUACAAGAUGUGCCGAAGCAGAUUAUGAGCCCUUCUUCAUCUUUUGCUAUAGAGGUCUCGGAGAUUUUGAAGGUAAUGACUGAACCUUUCCCAUUUGCACUGCUAAGUCCUCUAAGGUUGGAUCUGACUAGCCUUUUGCAGUCAAAGGAAAUUGCUUCGACUAUUGAGGGGAAAAAUGAGGGGCAAAAGAAGCGGUGUAUGAUGAAUAUAAUGGAAGCUAUUGAACAGACCCUGCCCUCAGCUUCGGCGGACAAAGCUAUUAUACCCGUUGAUGCUGAAGAUACCGCUGCAGCCGAAGCCGAGAAUCUCGCAACCACCCUGUCGGAAAUCGACAGACUUAUUUCGGAUGUGGUUGCGGAGAAAGAUGUAGCCAUAGUGCCUUCUGAUAAGGGGAAAAGAAUUGAAGAGACCACCUCGGAAAAUACGAAUUUCGACCUUCAGCACCUAGGUGGCCAACAGCUUUCCGAAGAGGACAUAUCAGAAUUAAAAGAAUUUGCCAUAUCCUACGGCUACCAACCUGGAUCAAUGCUCUUCGGCGGUGUUGAUGAAGAAAUUGUGGGAUGCAUUCGCGACCGGUCCGGGGCUAAUAUUAUAAGAACUUUGUCUAAGAGCAUUGGAUUUCUAAAGCUUGAAAAGGAUAUUAGCUGCUAUAGACUCAUUGGCAGCUUGUUUUACUCAAACUUCAAAGCAAGACUCCUUUGCAAGUUAUCGAUGGUAUCUUCGUAUUGAUUUAGGUAUUCUAACUUUGGUUCAUUUUUUUAGAGUUUAUUGCUAAGCAAAGCCUUGAAUAUGCAACAAGAUGACGAAGAUAGGAAAAAUGAAAUUAUCGUCAAAGGCUUUGAAGAUAAAAUCAGAAAACUUGAAGAUUCUUUGAAAGAAGAAGAUAGCCUGCUACAUUCAACUGAAGGAUCACUUGCUGAAGCUCAGGCUCAGAAUGAGAAAUUAAGCAAAGAGCUGAAGGAGACUCAAACACUUUUGGAAGAGAACUCCAGCCGGUUCGGCCGUGAAACCGAAGCUUUAAAUAUGACAAUUAAGGUUGAUGCUGAGAAGAACCUGAAACUGAGUGAAGCGCUUAAAGCUCUUAAGAAUUAAUGUUUCAACUUUGCGGCCCAAUGCACUGCUUGGCUAAAAAGUAUAUUCAAUUCAGUCGUAGCCGCAUCCAAAGAAGCCAGUCUUUCUGCUGAAGAUAUCCCCGGGGCACUUGAAUGCAUUGAGAAAGAAGUUGACGUCCUCGAUGAAGUCAAAACUGGCCACUGUGACUUCUGUGCGCUAGUAGCUUCUUGUGGUAUGGCUGCUGCUUUCAUAAAAGCCGGAUACAAUCAUGCAAGGGUCGUUAACAGACCAAACUUCAGCCUGUCUCCAACUGACCUUAUUGACAUUCCGGCCGAAGCCCAAAGCAUAGGUAACGAAUUUAUUACCCAGAUCUGGGCAAAUGGCGGUCGAGAACUGGCUGGAGAUGAAGCUCGAAAUUUGCUCAAGGUAUAAAAAAUCUUUUUACCUUUGUGCUUUUAUUUUAUAUUUUAUCUUACCAUGUUCCUCAGUACCUACCUUUGUCAUUCUUCAGGAUGAUGAUGCCAAGAGCUAGCGGACCGAAGCUAUACCAGAAGCAUUAGAGGAAACUUCGAAAGCUUCAUUUGCUAGUAUUUGUAAAAACACUUUUGGAAGCUCUUUGUGUAAAGAGAUGUAUUAUUUGACGAAGAAUUGUAAUUGACUAUGAGCAAAUAGUUGUAAAUAUUUGUAAAUGCUUUGCAACGCUAUUUUACCUUUCAUCCGUGCGUUAUCUGCUUUGCUGUGGAUGAAACCAAUGCUCGUAGCUUUUUGAGCCGAAGGCGAAAACAACUUCCCUUCUUUUCGUUCACAUCAAAGCACCUUUUGAGCAAAAUCAAACAUCGGCUCCCUCUUAUGCAAUGAGACGAAGCAUCUUCGUAUAUAGAAACCUUCGCUUUUCCUGUUAAUGAUUUAUGCUUUAUGUCAUGAUGAUGAAUCUACGGAUGCCUAAUGCAUGUUUGUAUGAAUGCAAAACAUGAUGUAAUGAAAUGUGCAAACGUAUGCCUAAGGUAAACAAACUCACACAAACAUGUACCCAGACUCUGCAUCCCCUUAGAAAUGACUUUGGAGUCUCUUCACCUUUUACUUAGGUGGUAUUUCAGCUCUGCAUUCCCUUGGGAACGACUUUAGAGCUAAGCUCUGCAUCCCCUUAGGAACAACUUUGGAACUUCUACACCUUUCACUUAGGUGGCAUUCUAGCUCUGCAUUCCCUUAGGAACGACUUUGGAGCUUAUUCACCUUUCACUUAGGUGGCAUUGUAGCUCUGCAUUCCCUUAGAAACGACUUUGGAGCUUCUUCAUACUUUUUACACUCGAUGGUGUAAUCCCAAAUCUUUACAUUUUUACAUGUGGGGGAAUCUGGCCCUUGUAUUGCACAGGGAUGCACAAAAAAUAAUAAUUACAACCUAUGGCCCCAUUAAAAACCUUUCUCCCCUCUUGAAAGGAAAAGGGUGCCAUAAGGAAAAAAGUAAGAAAAUUUCAAAAUUUAAUUUACACAUAAUAUCUUCGAAGCUCAUCUGCAUUCCAUGAUCUUGGAAUAUCAUUACCGUCCAUGUCUUUCAACCUGUAUGAUCCAGGUCUUGACGAAGAUACCACCAAGAAAGGACCUUCACAUUUAAGCUGAAGUUUUCCCACUAUAUCCAGGUUGGCCACUCUUCGAAGUACUAAGUGUCCUGGCUUGAUAUUCUUUAAUUUUACCUUCCGAUCUUGCUAUUUGACUGUUUUGGCUUGAUACUUAUUGAUGUUAUCUAUUGCCUGAAGUCUGGUCCCUUCUAUGGUGUCUUUUGUUAUUUUACAAUCGUCUUCAUCUUUUGCCGAAGCUGAGGUCCUUAUCGAACCUGUUCUUGCUUCUUCCGGUGUUAUUGCUUCAUCACCGAAUAAAAGCUUAAAUGGGGUAAAUCCUGUUGACCUUGAGACAACAGUGUUGUGGUUCGAUACCACUUUUAUUAAUUCAUCCGACCACUUUCCUUUUGGCUGAUUGAAGUUUGACUUCAUUAUUCCUAUUAUUAUGAUUUCGUUAGCUCGUUCUACCAAUCCAUUUGAUUAUGGAUGCCUUAUAGAUGCAAAAUGUAUUUUUGUACCAAUUUGGUCACAAAAGGUUUUGAAUGUUUCAGCAUCAAACUGAGUUCCAUUAUCAACUAUAAUGGCCUUUGGCAUACCAAACCGACAAGCAAUAUUCUGCUAGAAAAACUUCUGGACCGUGGCCGAAGUGAUUGUAGCUAGAGGUUUAGCUUCAAUCCACUUUGAAAAAUACUCCACCUCUACCACAACAUAUUUUAAAUUUCUUUGCACUGGUGGAAGUGGGCCUAAAAAAUCUAGGCCCCACCUUUGCAAUGGCCAAGUGGGCUGGAUUAGCUGAGUUAAAGACGAAGGUUGUUUUUGGUCUCUAGCACACUUCUGGUAGUUUUCACAUUUUUGAACUAAAUCUGCUGCAUUCGAAGCUGCCUUCGGCCAAUAAAAUCCUUAUCUGAAAAACUUUUCCAAGUAACGGUCUGGACCCAAUAUGAGCUCCGCAUACCCCUGCAUGUACUUCUUUCAUUAGCUCCUGGCCUUCGGCUCUGGAUAAACACUUCAGCAAUGGAGAGCAAACUCCUUGUUUAUACAAUUCUCCUUCUAUGAUCAUGUAAGGCCUUGUCAUGGCUUCCAUUCUUUUUAUAUAGACUUCGUCGUCCGAAGGAUAAUUUUCUUGCAAGAAAGAUACAAUCUCAGUUCUCCAAUCUUCACUGUGCACUAGUGAGAUUGUAAGCACGGCUCGCUCCAUAAGCUCGACGGAAGGUGCUUUUAUUGUUUCAAAGAAUACUUCCGAAGGUAGUGGGAGCCCCUGUGCCGCUGACUUAGCUAACAAAUCUGCGUGCUCAUUUUCUCCUCUUAGGAUAUUCUUUACUGAGAAGCCUUCGAAAGAGGAUUCCAUUCUUCGAACUAUAUCUAGAUAUUUCUCAAGCUUCGGAUCUCUUGCUUUGAUGCUUUUAUCAAUAUGGCCUGUAAUAACAUGUGAAUCAGACUUGAGGACUGCCCUUCUUACUCCCAUUGCCUUGAGCUUUUGAAGCCCCAAGAGAAGGGCUUCGUAUUCUGCAAUGUUAUUUGUGCAGUGGAACUCUGGCCUGGCUGCGUAACAUGUUCUGAUCUUGGAUGGUGAAAUUAUGAUAGCAGCUGCACCUGCACCGAAGGUUCCCUAUGACCCAUCAUAGAACAUUGUCCAAGCUUCGUUAUCUUUUGUUCUUUCUUGAUCUGAGCCCCUGGCGUCCGAUCAGCAAUGAAGUCUGCUAAUGCUUGAGAUUGGAUUGAAGACAUGUGGACAUAAUCUAUAGUGAAUUCAUUCAGCUCUGCAGCCCACUUUCCAACUCUUCACAUGGCUUAUUUGUUCCUUAUUAUGUCCUUGAGAGGUUGAGAAGAAGGUACUAUAAUAUGGUAUGACUGGAAAUAAUGCCGAAGCUUUCUGGAGGCCAUCAAUACAGCUUAUAGUAUCUUCUCCAGCUUUGUGUAAUUUCUUUUGGACGGACUAAGUACUUCAGAGACGAAGUACACUGGCACUUGCUUCUUCGCUUGGCCAUCUUGCUUAUCUUGCACCAACGCUGCACUAACUGCAGCGUGAGAAGUAGCUACAUACAACAACAAUGGGUCUCCUAAUGAAGGUGGAGUUAAUGUUGUCAGUUCUAUUAGAUAUUGCUUUAGCUCUUCGAAAGCCUUUUGUUGGGUUGGUCCCCAUUGAAAGACUUUGGCUGAUUUCAGCACUUCAAAGAAUUGCAAGUUCCUUUCUGCUGAUCUUGAAAUAAAUCUAUUCAAUGAGGCCAACCUUCCUGUCAAUCUCUAGGCACCUUUUCUUGACUUCAGUGGCUCCAUCUGAUGUAUAGCUUCUAUAUUGUUUGGGUUAGCUUCAAUUCCUUUUGUUGACACAAGGCACCCAAGAAAUUUCCCCUUCUUCACUCCGAAGACACAUUUCUCUGGGUUGAGCUUGAGGUCGGCCUUUCUAAAAUUGGCAAAUGUUUCUUGUAAAUCGGCGAUGUGAUUUUCUUGCUUGAUACUUUUCACUAUGAUAUCAUCGACAUAUGUUAGAACAUUCCUGCCAAUCUGAGAACAAAGGACUUUAGUAGUCAUCCUGCUAAAACUUCCUCCGGCAUUCUUGAGCCCCUUGGGCAUCCAAAGAUAGCAGUAGGUCCCACUAGGAGUUAUGAAGUUUGUCUUAGGCUUGUCUUCCUUCUUCAUCCAGAUUUGAUGAUGAUAACCUGAAUAACAAUCCAAUAGACUCAUGAGCUCUGGAGUAGCUGCUGCAUCCACUAGGGAAUCUAUUUUUGGCAAAGGGAACUCAUCCUUCGGACAUGCCUUGUUGAGAUCCAUAAAAUCAAUGCACAUCCUCCACUUUCUAUUAGCCUUCUUCACCAUCAUAGUAUUGGCUAACCACUCUGGAUAUGUCACCUCUCUAAUUACUCUGGCACUCAGGAGUCUUUUGACUUUGUUUCUUGCACCUUCAGCUUUGUCAUCGGACAUCUUUCGAAGCUUUUGCUUCCUUGGCCUGAUAGUCGGAUCUACAUUAAGUGAAUGCUUAAUGACAUCUUUGUUGACACCGCAAAGAUCAUUAGCCGACCAAGCAAAGACAUCCUUGUGGUUGAACAAAAACCUCAACAAAAUUUUUUCUUGUCCGCCAGACAAUUGAGACCCCAACAACACCUUUUGCUAUGCUAUGUCUUCACAUAGAAGCAUGGGCUUCGGCUGAUCUGCUGAGGCAACCUUAUCUCUUUUAUGCUUAUAUUGUUGAUGAGCUUAGGCUUCAUCUAUGUUAUGGAUGGCCUUUGAAUCUGUCCAGUUCCCUUCGGCCCUUCUAGCAGCCUCUUGACUCCCAAGCACAGCGAUGAACCUUGGUCGGAAGGUAUCUUCAUGCACAGAUAUGCUGGGUGAAAUAUUGCUUCGAAGGCGUUCAACGUCCCUCGACCAAUGAUUGCAUUGUAAGGAUAAUCCAUAUCAACAAUGUCGAAUACAACUUGCUCUAUUCUUGUGUUGUGAACAUAUCCGAAGGUGAUUGGCAUUGUUAUCUUCCCGAGUGUCACUAUCUGCCUUCCUCUGAAGCCACAUAGGGGGUGUGUUGCGUUAUGUAUCUUGUUAUCCUGCUCCUGCAUUUGCCUAAAGGCUUUUGCAAAGAUGAUAUCUGCUACACUGCAUGUGUCUACGAGGACAUUGUGAACCAGAAACCCCUGGAUAACACAAUAUAUAAUCAUUGCAUCAUUGUGAGGGUAGUCCUUGAGCUGAAGGUCCUCUUGAGAUAAGGUGAUUAAUAUAUGAGACCACUUGGACUUAAUGAAGGGUCCCUGCACUUCAACAUGUUGUACUCUUCUUUGUGCCUCCUCCUUCUUCUUCUUAUUAUCUAGUUCAGAACUUGAAUCACAUGUGAUUGGGUGCACCAGCUUUGUAGCCGAAGGUGCCACGGCUUGGGUUCUUUGCGAAACCAUUGUCGCGAUUGUGGAAGCGAGUUCACCGGAGGGGGGCACCAAUGUUGGUCAUUUGUUCUCAAAUGUUGUGAAUCAAGAACAAGGCAACACAAAUGUUAAGUAUUUAGGACCUUCGUCUUCCAAAACAUUACCUCCUCGCUGAUAUAAGGAUCAUCAGACGAAGGUCAUGAAGGUCAUGCCUUCAUCAUAUUAUAGUUAAAUAAGAAUACAUAAGGGUAAAUAUAAUGAAUAUGACUCAUUGAUUCAUUCAUAUUUGCAUUCCAUAAAGUAUGUAUGAUAAUUAACAGAAGCUGUAUUACAUUGAUAACUUCGGCUUACUCGAAGGUGAUGACGCGGGGGUGAUUACAAUUCAGCGUGAACAGUACGGUGCUACUGUUCAUCUAUUUAUAGGCACGGGACGUAGCCCAGGUAAAAUUACAUUUAUGGCCUUCAACAUUUGUUCAUAAUUGUAACACAAAUCACUAGAGACUAGCUAGUCUUUUCAUCCUCUGUUUGGUUUAAGCGAAAGCUAGUGGCAGCUUUGGCGCUUGCCAUCAUUGCUUCCAGACGAGAUCUUCGCCUUAAGGAGCUUCAGUAGAGAAAAAGUAAGUCUUCAGUACCACGUUGCCGAUGGUUUUUGUCUUGAGGACCUUCGGUGGAGAAGAAGACCCCCAACAGUAACCAUGUCGUGCUUGUGUCAGCACUACGGGUUGAGAUGGUGGCCCAGGCACGGCACUAUAGCCAGCUGUGUCGUGCCAGACACUGACACUAUACUAGCCGGGCCAGGUCAUGCCUAGGCCAUGCUUUUUUGUGUCGUGCCUAGUCUGGCCCAUCGUGUUAGUGCCAAUUGGGCAUCUAUAGUCUUGCUAGGAGCAAGUUUAAUAAUGUAGCCAACUUCGGGCAAGAAUAUCUCCAAUAGUUAUGUAAAUUUAGCAUAUAGAAAGUUGUCAAAUACAUUGAGGAGUAAAAAAUGUUUGUGCUCCAACAUUUCUUUAUUUAUUGUUUGCUAAUUUUUAAAGUUGUUUGUCAUAGAAAAAAAGUAGGUUUGCUUUCUAUUUUUAAUUAAUCUAUCAACAACCUUCUCUAACAUUUUGGAAGAUUUUGAGUUGUCGAUGUAAGACCAGACGGUCAUGGCAACGGUGCCUCACCAUAAGAGAUUUUCUAGCAGUAACGGUGUCGAGAUGUCUGAACACUGGAAAUGGAUUUGUGGCAAAUGGGUCGGUGGGACAGUCCAACGUUGAUUUAGAGAGUCCCAACAAGAUUGCUAAAUGUAGAGAUGAAAUUAGGUUUUGUAGGUAGUUUAUAAAUUUAAAAACUUGCUUUACAUAACUGUUGGAGAAGAGUUUUUUCUCAAAAGCUUCUUAAAUUCAUAUUUAGGGAGUCGUUUACAUAACUAUUGGAGAUGCUGACCUUUGUAGCCUAUCUUAUAGCCGAUAUAUAUAAUGGUUAGAAAUUGGCAAUUAAUAUAUGGUCCACUUGUCUCUCACAUAAUUUUUUAGUUCCCUUGUAUAAGUUGGCUAUUCGUUUGUAGUCUGCUUUUAGUCUCUCUCCUCCCAUGUCAUCUUCCAUAUCAGCAUUUAGUCGGCUUACAACAACAUAUUAUACUUGCUCUCAUUCGUUCACCCCGCGCUCGCUCGUUUACGCUAUAUUUCGCUCGCACGGUAAAAGCUCCACAAUCGCCCUUUCCAUCCAGCGCCCAAGCCAGUUCUUAGUUCCCACCGUUCCACCUGCAUGCAUCGCGCUCGCUUAUACCACCAUACUCGCUUGUUCACGCCAGCCAUGCCAUGGAUGUUUGGCUGGAGUGUCCUGCACCGGAUGUCGCGGCGCCAUUGAAGAAGCUCCAGAUGAAGUCAUGUCGCAGUCACUCACCUCAUCGAAGUUGGCGUCCGACUCCAUGUUUCGUCGCGGGAUGGAGAUAAGGGUUGACGACGAUAUCGAGCAGGAGUCCUUUAUGCCAUACUCGGUGCUACCAAAGUCCAAAACUUCUCUACAUGUUGUUGAGGUAUGCCACAAAGGCUUGCCUACAUCCAUGUUGUUGAGGUAUGCCAUAAAGGUUAAGGAUCACACACCCUUCCUUGAUCAUAAGUCACUCUUGAGAUGAGAACUUUUUCAUUAAUUUCAGGGGUAACUUAAAGAUUUGAAGGGCUGCAAUAAGUGUCCUACAGCUCAUGGAUGAAGCUCUUGCCAACUAGGAGCUAAAAGGGAAAUGUGCCCUUGGGCCAUUUCUAGUUGUCUUGGUGAUUAACUGCCCAACACACCACUUUGAAGUAACCUUAUUCAUAUGAGCAUGAGCACAUGUUUAGAUCAAGCAAAUUGGAGAUGAGAAGUCCUAAUGAGUUGGACUAGAAGACCAAAAGAGAAAAGCACUUUUUGGACUUGAGUUUAUACAUAUUGCAAAUCCUUUUUGAAAUGAAGUAAAAAAGGUAUGGUCCGUAUACUUAGUCAAUUGUUUUAGUUUCUAACUAUGUUUGUCUAAGUGCUAGGGAACCUCUCAAGAAGAGUCAAAAAAAGCUGGAGAAGUUUGGUUCAAAAGAGCCAAACUUGGGCCAGUCUAGGACUCACAAGACUGUCCUGUGUGCAUGUCCAGUGAGGUAUAUGGCUGAAGAUGCUGCUCUCAAAAAUUUUAUUGAUAAAACUCAUCGAACAGUAAAUAGUGCAAUGUCUGGUGCAUCAGACAUCGUCUUCAAUGGCUCUCUCCGCGGGAGGGCGCUAGCCGCCAACGACUUUCUUACGUGGAAGCUGUCUGUUGGCGCACCAAACUGUCCGGUGCCACGCCGAAAAAGGAAACCGGCCAAUCAGAUCGUCGGUCGACCAUUGGCAACCAGAAAUCCAGUAGUGCACUGGACUGUCCGGUGGCAGAAUGGACUAUGUGAUAUCCUGGCCCUAGGGGAUGGUGAUAUCCUGGCCUAAGGCUUAAAAAUCAAUAGAGUACUCAUAUCAACAAGGUGCAUCUUCUUUUUUGGAAGCCUAUCUCAAAAGAACCUCCAAGUUAAGCAUGCUUGGUUUGGAGCAAUUUAGGAUGGGUGAUUGACCGGGAAGUUUUCUUGGGUGCACAUGAGUGAGGACAAAGUGCACACAAAAGACUCGUGUUGGUCUAUGGGGACAAUAUAUGGUCCUAGAGAGCUGCAAGGAGUAAGUACCACCGAUCCGAUAGUGGAUAGGGUGUUUCAAGUGGUAUUAGAGCCGACCCACCAGUUUCACAGGCGUGUGUGGGUUAGGGGUUCGGUAUAUGGUGCAUGGCGCAUGUGGGCCCAAAGUGGUCACAUGGUAUGGCAUAUGACAACACUAGACACACAGACGUAGCUAAGAGGGGAGGUUCCUCGAUUCGGGUAGACCGAUGAGGAUGUCGGUCUUCUAAGGGGGGGUGAAAUGUGAUAUCCUGGAGCAUGUGGGCCCAAAGUGGUCACAUGGCAUGGCAUAUGAUGACACUUGACACAUAUACAUAGCUAAGAGGGGAGGUUCCUAGAUUGGGGUAGACAGAUGAGGAUGUUAGUCUUCUAAGUGGGGUGGAUUGUGAUAUCCUGGCCCAAGGCUUAAUAAAAUUAAUACAGUACUCAUAUCAACAAGGUGCAUCUUCUUUUUCGGAAGCCUAUCUCGAAAGAACCUCCAAGUUAAGCGUUCUUGGCUUGGAGAAAUUUGGGAUGGGUGACCGAUAGAGAAGUUUUCUCGGGUGCGCAUGAGUGAGGACAAAGUGCGCACAAAAGACUCGUAUUGGCCUGUGGGGACAAUAUAUGAUUGUAGAGAGUUGCUAGGAGUAAGUAUCGUCGGUCCGAGAGUAGAUGGGGUGUUACAGACUAUCCGGUGAGCUCGUAGAUAGGGAAGUUUUUCAGCUUCCUUAUGGAGAAGGCAACGACUCCUAGACCUCUUGGAGCUAUAAAAGGAGCCCCUAUGUGCCUCUCUAGAACAACAAGCAUCGUAAGAGCACAGUACAACUCCGAGACUCCACGACCACGCUGUUCUAGUGUUCCAGAGAGAUUUGAGCCGGUUUUGAGUUGUCACUCUUUUUGUGUUCUUACACUCUCUUCUUUGCUUCUGUGUGUGUUGUUGCUGCAAUUGUGCUCUUGUGUGCAUAUUCUAACUCCUCCCUUACUCUAAGUUUGAUUGUGACCAUUUAUGUAAGGCGUGAGAGACUCCAAACUUGUGGAGAUUCCUCACAAACAGGUUUGAUAUAAGGAAGAAUAUUAUGGCACUCAAGUUUGAUCUUUGGAUCACUUGAGAGGGGUUGAGUGCAACCCUUGACCGAAGGAGGUAACCAUAGCAUGGAGUAGGCUUUGGCCGAACCACGAGACAAAUCAUUGGGUCUCUUGUCCGCUUUACUUUACUACCAUUUUUGUCUUCCUUUGAGCUUAACCUUCACUUACGUAUUGCUCCUAGUUUAAUACACAUCUCAAGAGAGCAAUCAAGUGAAGAGUCUUUCUUUCUCUCCUCUUCUCAUAUGAACUUGGUUUAAUUUAUUCUAACUCAUAUCAUAGACCAAGUUUUAUUGUUUUGAGCAAGUUUUGUAGGAUCACCUAUUCACCCCCUCUAGGUGCUCUUAGGAGCAAGCUCCAAGGAUGGAGUUGUGUAUGCUGGACUCAAGGACUCCAAUACUCAAGAGUAGGAAAACUGAGGAAGAGAGUGUAUUCUUGUUGUGUUCUUCUGAGUUUGAAUGUAUUGUCUUAGUUAGCUGGUUGGGAUGGAGUGUGCAACAGUAUAUGUAACAAAGUGAGACAAGGGGCAAGAUAUGUUGUCUGCAAUAGAUCUUGCUAUUAGGAUACACAGAAGGGAGCUAUUGGGACGAGCACGGAUAGAAUAUUCAAAGCCCCCACUUGUCUAAUGGGUAUUUCAAAAUCUGGUUGUGCUAGGGCGUGGUAGUACCACAUGCUUAUGCGGUAGUGUCGCGCAGGUCCAAGGAACAUAAAUGAGUUGGUAUUAUAUCACUGUGUUCCUAGACCUAAGUAUGAGUGGUUCGUGGCUUUUGAGCAUUGGAAGAACCCGAUGUAGACAAACUCAAAUCCUCCUAAUAGUACGAAACUUCUACAAUAAAUAAUAAAAUAAAUAUACAAUGUAAUCCAUUUUCGAUUUGGGGUUGCCACCACUGUCAUGAUACCAGUCAUUAACUUGUCGUGAUACUUGUCUUUUCUUUUCUCAUUAACUUGUCAUGAUACUUGUUAAGCAAUGUUAGGUCUCUAAUUACAAGGUCAUCAUCACCAAAACCCACACUUAGGGCUUGAUUGCACUUACAUGCAUGUCGCACAUAGGCUCUAUGGACCAUUAGUGUUUGGCCCAGAAAUGCGCCAACAUACUUUUUGGUGACUCUGUUGGGGAUGAAAGCUUUGGAUCUACAAAAAAUGGAUGCAAUGGCUUAUUCAAAAUAUCUCAACGAUGUUUCUCUAGACAAUAACACAAGACUGAUUAUAGAUGAUUUGUCGGUCGCUGAGCAGAAGGAAUUUGAAGACUACUUGAAGAAGCUAGACGAGGAGGCCUAGUGAGGACAAGCUCAGAUUCGUGAGGAGGUAAAGAGGUGGUACCUCUCGCACUUCACCGUAGAUCGUCACCAAAGGGUCAUCCAAGAGAGGGAAGUGGAGCUCGCUUCCAUAAUGGCCUCGCUGUAGCCCGCCACUACAAAUGCAAUCGGCUAUCGAUAAAGUUUGAUUGAAAUUUCUAGACAUGCAGUUGGGCAAUCAAUCCUUCUUGGUCAACAGUUUAGAACUUGAUGGGAAGAAAAUUGUGGUUCGACCAUAAGAGACCGAUAAGAACAAGUGUGACAAUAUCGUGAUCAAUAACCCUCAGGUGAUCGAUGAAAAAGCAAGGACCUUGGCUAUGAAGGUGAUUGUAUAGAAAAAUUUGGAUGGACAAGAAGCCAUCAAGACCACCAUCAAGUCUACCGGUGUUGGGGGGCAAGACAUAACAAGAAUCUGACAGAGCUCUCCAAGCCGGCGUACACCGAACAAUUUGGUGCUUAGCGCUAGCAGUCUGGUACUAUCAGCAACAAAACGAAGACCCACAGGAUAAAAGUAGAAGGCCCCAGAAGCAAAACCAGCCUAAGGCUUUUAGCAAGUUUUCUAAAUCGGGUCUUACGUUCGAUCGAUUUCUUUCAAAAUAUAUGAAUAAGAAGGUCGUUCCGCAUAAUCUGCUAGCAAAAUGAUCAAAGUCAUCCGCAAGAAAGAAGUAAUAUGUACAGGGGCAAAGACUGACUAUACCAGCCCGAGAAGUGCCUCAACUAGCAUCGCCUGCUCAUCAGUCUCCAGGGAUGUUGUGUUACUUUUACUCGUCUACUCAUCGCCGAUGUUUUAACCGGCUCAAGCGUGGAAAAGUGUGAUAAUGAAUCUAUAUUACAUGCAUAGCCCAUUUGAUUAUUCGUGCUAGCGGGCAUCACAAUUUUGUGCUUUUGGCAUAUUAAUUAGAUGGUCAUGACCAAUAGAGAUGUAUCUAAAACAACCUUUAUGCAUUGGAGCUUUGUUGAAUGGCUAUGCUAUUUAGAAGAGCUAAUGACUUGCAUCAAGCUAAAUUGCUAAUUUCAGGAGUAAAACGAAUUAUCAAAUAUGUUGUUUCUCGAAAGAUGUUGGUGGUACAAGUGCUUUUGGUUCAUGACCCGCACCAAAAGGCAGGAGGACAUAUGUUAAACACCAAAACUGACAAUAUUGGUACUAUCGAACUGUUCAACCCUGCGAACAGUCUAGCAUAAUAGCCUAGAAAGUCUGCGCCCUGAACAGUCUGGCGUGUUAGCCCGAAUAGUCCAGGAUUAGAUCUGUUCGGGCUAGAGUCCUAAUUUUUUGUUAGAUUCUUCAGAUAUCUCACGGGAUUUUAUUGGAGUUUGCCUAAGAAAGGGGCCAGACCUCCCCCUAUAUAUAUGAGAGAACAAAAUCAUAUGAAACACCACCAAUCGAAUCAACAGUUAUCUUGUAUUUACUUUCUCAUUCUUAGAUUAGAUGUAGUUUAAGCCCUAAUUGUAGCUUUCCAAUCCCUGAUCUUCACCUCUCUUCGACUUUAUGUCGACUUAGGGCGCUUUGGGUGGGUGGCCGAUUACGAAGCAACCCUAGAAUCCCUCGUCGCCGCAAAUACGUGUCAAAUAGUCUGCCAGCCAGGGCCAGACAGUCCGCCAACCUGCAAAGAGGCUCUAAAGUCCUACAUGCUGGCCCUGGGAUGAUACAUGAAUGUAACACCCUAAAAUUGAGGGUAUAAAUUUUCUUCUCUAAUAUUCACCAAAAUAUAGGUGUUACCUUCUUUCUCCUCUUCCUCUUUGCUCCUUUCUUUUUUCAAAGUGGUAGAGGGAUUUAUUUUGAAUUCAUGAAUCAAGAAAAUCCUAAGGAAGUCGUGUGAUGUUGCACCAUGUUGAAGCACAUAUUUUAUUUUGCUUGCUGCACAUGUUUGAAAUGCAUUCAUCUUGUUCUGAGUUCACGCUCGAGUUUGGAAGUUGGAUAGAAAAGAAAGGAAUAAAAAGAGAAAAAUAGAAAAAGGCCAACCCCCACCUAAAUUUUCCCAGCUAGCCUAGCUCGCCCCUCCUGUGGCCCGCCCCACGCCCCUUCCCCCCAGUCGUGGCCCACCUGACAGCUCGCCCACGGCCCAGCCACACCGUGCCCUCGCGAGCGCACUGUGUGAACACACCCUGCCAUGUCGCCACCGCCUGGCCUAUGGGCAUCGCACGUCAUGGGUGUCUUCCUCAAAUCGCCAUCCCACCUCGGUCGACUAUGACCUCGGGGUUUUUAGCAACUGCACCCACGCCUCGAUUCAAUAGCCCUUGCAUCCCCUCCACUUUUUCCCCUACCGCGUCCCUCACCCACGUCCGAAACCGCCAUCUCCUCGCCCAUCUGGAGCGUCGUCGUCUCUCUGCUUCACUGUCCGAGCCUCGCCUGCGCUGAGUUUGCGACGCUGUCCACUGGAGGAGCCCUGCGUCGUGCCCUCAGCUGAGGUGAGAAUCAACGUUGUCUAACUCGCCAUCUCCCUCUAUUCUUUAUGCCCGGUGUGGCCAUGGCACCUACCCCUGGCGUGGCGAGCCCGCCCUCAUGGUGGCCAAGCUCGCCCCUGCACGCCAAACCCCCUGCGCGCCAACGCUUACCGCGACUGAUAGUCGCCUAGAGGGAGGUGAAUAGGCGAAACCUGAAAUUUACAACUUUAAACAACACUUGAUCCCCUAGUUAGCGAUUAGAACAAGAUGAACAAUAAUUGGAGUAUAGAACUAAGUCAUAUUCCUACAGAAGUGUUGCUUUCAAAGAAUGCGUAAUAAACUCAAAGAAACACAACUAAAUAUCUAUGAUGAUUAGAACAAGAAUACUUAGUUAGGAAGGGAAACAACACAAGUUCUUUCUUGCAAGGAGUUCCUUCUAUAUAUCAGAAUUUAACAUGAAGCAACACAAAGUAAUAUUAACAAAGAAUAACGCAAGAAAACUUAAAGAGGGAGAAGACAAACAAAUCACAAGCAAUAAUCACAAGAGACACAGAUGAUUUGUAUUACCGAGGUUCGGUUCACCAAGAACCUAAUCCUCGUUGAGGAGUCCACAAAGGAUGGGUCUUUUUCAAUCCUUUCCCUCUCUCCAAUGAUCACCAAGACCAGCGAGUGUUCCUUCUGUUGUUUACUUGUUCUCGAUUGCUAUAUACAACCAAAACAAGGCAACACAAUGUUAAAAAGAUAAUCAACCUUCGUCCUCGAGGAGUUAUCCCUCCAGGAUAAUUCCUUCGAAGAUGAAGGUUAAGACUUAAUCGAGUAAAUCAAGUCUUAAUUGCGUGAACAAGUAAAUAUGUAAAAAAUGUAAAGGAGUUUAAACAUGAUAAAUCAUCUCAGAUAUAUCAAUAUCACAUUUCUCCUCUUUCGUAUAAUGAAUUUAUAAUUGUACCUUCGGCUUUACAGAGUGAGUUAGAAUGAAUGUGCUAUGGAAAAGAGAUUACACACAGGAAUUAUCUAGCCCUCCAAAAGGUACUUUAUGCAGGGCACUGUUCAUCUAUUUAUAGGGAAUCCUACAACUUCAUACCCUUAUGGAUUACACACAGAAUUUACAAAUAAUACAAGGGCAACAUUGUCUUUUGCCUUCAGCAUUCAGGAUGACACCUUCUUCUUACAUCAUCUUCAUGUGUUGUGAUGAUGAAGCUUACAUCGUUAUCGUUCCACUGUUCCACACCGAAGGUAGUCUGAUGCUGAAGCUCCUAUAAUGCUUGACAAAUAUGUUGACAACCAAUGGUUAACCGUGUUUUUGAGGACCUUCAAAAGAUGAAGGCCCCCAACAGUAGCCCCUCGCGGUAUUAGAUUGUUUCUUUGUAACAAACUCAGACUGUGAAAUGAACGAAGGCCUUAUACCGAAGGUCCGGAAAAACACCUUCCCUUCGCUAGAAUAGCGAAACCUUUUGAAUUGUGGGAGCCACUUUGCAGUGGUGUUUUGUCUAUAUAUAUGAGGGUUGUGACAAAAUAUUUUUCGUACUACCGACUUAAGCUGGUUUGUUUUGAGCUAUUGCUAUUGCAUUCAUUUUCUAGCUUCGGCUUUUCGCUUAAUCAAAGUUGAGAUGGCAAAAGAUAGGAGGAGAGAAGACCCUGCAUUGGCUAGGUUUUAUGAAGAUAUGGAAAGAACAAAUUCCGAGAAAAUAACCAGCGAAAUUCUUGCUAGACUGUCUGAAGAUUUUGAGGGCAGUGAUGAUUUUGAUGUUGAUAGCGGUGCGGAUGAUGCCGAAGAUCGGCCAUGGAGGCCAAGCCAUGUUGUCUUCGGAAAAUCUACUGUCAAUAAAGGACAAAUUGAGACAAUGAAGGGAAAAUAUUUUCAUGAUAUAUCUGUAGUGCGAGUCGGAGGGGAGAACAUUGUUUCUCUUCCUGAGGCAGACGAAGUGGUGGUUUUUCCAAUGUUUCAUAAAGGAUGGGCUACGCUUUCCCCUGUACAAAAUGUUAGUUGAAGUGUUGAAGAGAUUUCAGAUAUUCCUUCAUCAACUUACUCCCGAAGCUUUAAUUAAAGUUGGAGUUUUUAUCUUGUUAAUGAGGAGCCAAGGGCUGGAGCCAGAUGUCGACUGCUUCUGCAAUAUCCACGAACUAUCCUAUCAGACAAAGGCAGUUGGAAAGGAACAAUAUCACAACAUUUUUUGGCUGCUAUUACUUCUCAUACCACGCGAGACACCCUGUUCCAACCUUUCAGAAAAAUGGCCUGGAUCCUGGAUGAAGUAGUGGUUUUAUGUUAAAUAUAACUUGGCUGGGAGGGAGGAUGUUAAGGAUGUGAUUCAAUGACCCAUUCAAUUACACUUCGACAUUAGGAGGCCUAGAUGUUUGGUAGCCUUCAACACCGUGUGCAGCUACAUCGGUUUCAGAGAUUUGACACAAGAACAUCUAGCUUUCAAGGUAUGGCCUCUUGCUAGCAAGUGGGAAAUGCUGAAGGAAACCGACACCAGCUCAAGCGAAGGUGGUCAUGUGUAUCUAAAAUAUACUUACCACUAUAUGGAUAAGUUUGGUGAACUGGAUGAUGAUUGGCUUGAGGCCAUUGAAGCAACUAGUGACGAGUUGUUAGGGGUAUACACCAAGGCUGAAGACGAAGCUAUGAAUACUGCCUUUGGUGCUCGGGGUAAAAGAAGGUCAAAUAGGGUAUUUGAUGUUAUUGGAUUUGUAUAUCCAGAUUAUACCUUUCCUACUCGGAAAAGGGGAGUUAAAAGGAAAGCUGCAAUUGCAACAACCUCCACGACGUUGAAACAAAAGAGAGUCAAAGUUUUAACCCACCGACCGAAGUCGUACUACUAAGAACGAGCUGCAAGACUACCUGCUGCUGAAACCUCUAAAGCAGAAGCCGCCGAAGAAGUUGAAGAGGCCACUUCAGCUCCGAAGGUAAUGUUUUCUUUUUCUAUGAUUUGAAUCAAGGCACUACUGAUUUAAUGUUACUUUUGGAAUUUUUGGGUAGGUGAUGAAAAGGAAUCGAGGCAACCGCUGUGAGUGCCCUGCCACCCAUUCAUUUGGAAUCAACUUCAGAAAAGGGCCACGCUGUGAAAGAACAUCCAAAGACCCAAGAUCUGCCAAAGGUGCUAGAGCCAUCAAAGAUAUUAUCCGUUCUAGCGAGAACUCCGAGGAAAGGCAAAAUAAUGGCCAACGUGAUAGACGCUGUUCUGAGGCCCUUAAAGAUGGCGACGCCUGCUCCCCCAAAGUUUCCAAAGACAAAGUUGAGGAAUUGAAAAUGACUACUGACAAAGCUGUUUCUCCUAACUUAAGUAAGGCUGGACCUUCAGAAUCCAAUCCAUUAGAUCAUAAAUUUGAAAGCCUGCCAGAGAGAAUAGCACUGCCAAUACUCAAAGCAGCGCCUCUUGGAGAUCUUGGAUACAUUGUUCGCCAUGCUUCGGGGAAACAAUUAACGGAACAAUAAAUUGCCGAAGUGCAACAUUAUGCAAGAGACUUGAGGUAUCCUCGAGGCUCUUUGGUGUAUGGGGGCAAUGAUGAAGAUGAUUACCUGUACUACCUACCAGAUAAUAAAGAGAUUGAUGUUUGUCGAGAGAUGAUGGAUAACAUGGGUUAUCCGAAACUUGAACUUGGAUUAUCCGCAAUGCCCAAGGAUCACCUUGCGAAUUGCUUAGCUUACAACAACUUGAAGGUUUCCAUAUUUUACUUUUUCUUCCAAUUUUGCAGAAUGUUUAUCCAUAGUACUUACUAUUUAUUUGUGAUUAUUUUUUAUUAGGGACUGUUGGGGUUGUGCUUCGGUGCGCCGAAGGUCUCACACGAAGAAACAGCUUCGGCUGAAGUCGUCUCCAAGAGAUGGCCGAAGGUCCCUUUUCAUGGAGCUUCGGCGUUUUAAACCGACAUAGAGAUAGAAUGACCUUUUUAUACAUAUAGGUCUGAGUCAAUACUGUAAACUUUCGCAAGGGACAUAAUUGUAAUUUGUCACAGGCUGCGACCUGUGCCUAUAAAUAGAUGAACAGUACCUCUGUACUGUUCACGUGAACCUGUCAUUUGCUUUUGCAUUACGCUUGUACUUCUGCCUUCCGCAGGACUGAAGGUACAUUUGUAAAUCAAAGUCAUUUAUAUUCAUUAAUACAAGUAUAGAUAAUUCUAUGACAAUAUUUAAAUGUUUAUUCCAUGAUUUAUGUGAAUGCUCCAUUCUUCGUUGUUAUGCUUACGAAGGUAUGUCCUUCGUAACCUUCGUCCGAGAUGCUUUAUAUCCCGAAGGGAUAUAUCGUUAUGGAGGACGAAGGACCUCAACACUUAACAUUUUUUGUGUUGCCUUGUUCUUAAUUCUUAGCAUUUGAGAACAAGUCCCCAACAUUGGCGCCCACCUCCGGUCAACUCACUUCCACCUUUCUGAGCUGAUGGCUUCGUUCAACACUCAAGCUGGAGCUGCUUCGGCUUCGAAGCUGGUGCUCCCGAUAACAGGCGGUUCUUGCUCAGAGCCAGCCAACAAAAAGCAGAAGAAGGAGGCUCAGAGAAGGGUGCAGCAUGUUGGAGUGCAGGGACCCUUUAUUAAGUCAAAAUGGUCUCACAUUCCAAUUACCUUCUCUCAGGAAGAUCUUCAGCUCAAGGACUAUCCUCACAAUGAUGCUAUGGUCAUUUCUUGUGUGAUCAAAGGGUUUCUGGUUCACAAUGUCCUAGUUGACACAGGCAGUGCAGCUGACAUUAUAUUUGCCAAAGCCUUCAGACAGAUGCAGGAGCCUGAAGACAAGAUUCAUGAUGCUACGCACCCUCUUUGUGGCUUCGGAGGGCGGCAGAUUGUGGCACUCGGGAAGAUUACCAUGCCGGUAACCUUCGGAUUUGUUAAUAACACAAGGACUGAGCAAAUUGUGUUUGAUAUUGUUGACAUGGAAUACCCCUACAACGCCAUCAUUGGUCGUGGCACCCUAAAUGCUUUUGAAGCAAUUCUUCACCCAGCUUAUCUCUGCAUGAAGAUACCUUCGGACCAAGGGCCUAUUGCUAUUCAUGGGAGUCAGGAAGCUGCCAGAAGGGCCGAAGGAAGCUGGACUGAUUCCAAGGCAAUUCAUAAUAUAGAUGGAGUUGAAGCUUGUGAACAGUACAAGUUCAGGAGGGAAAAAGCAGCUUCGGCUGAUCAGCCGAAGCCCAUGCUGCUGUGUGAGGAUAUAGCAGAGCAGAAGGUGCUAUUGGGCUCGCAAUUAUCUGAAGAUCAAGAGAAAACCUUGAUAAGGUUUCUAUUCAACAAUAAAGAUGUUUUUGCAUGGUCAGCCAACGAUCUUUGUGGAGUGAAUCGGGAUGUUAUUGAACAUUCGCUCAAUAUUGACCCAUCCUUCAGACCCCGCAAGCAGAGGCUUCGGAAAAUGUCUGAUGACAAGGCCGAAGGGGCUCGCAACGAAGUAAAAAGACUCCUAAGUGCAGGAGUUAUCAGAGAAGUCAAGUAUCCAGAAUGGCUAGCUAACACUGUUAUGGUGAAGAAGGCCAAUGGAAAGUGGAGAAUGUGUAUUGAUUUCACAGAUCUCAACAAAGCUUGUCCGAAAGAUGAGUUCCCGCUGCCAAGGAUAGACUCUUUAGUUGAUGCAGCAGCUUCUUCGGAACUCAUGAGUCUCCUGGAUUGUUACUCAGGCUAUCAUCAAAUCUGGAUGAAAAAGGAGGAUGAGCCGAAGACUAGUUUCAUAACCCCAAGUGGUACAUAUUGCUAUCUUCGGAUGCCUGAGGGGCUUAAGAAUGCUGGAGGGAGUUUCAGCAGGAUGACUGCGAAGGUUCUCCAAUCUCAGAUAGGCAGAAAUGUGUUGACCUAUGUUGAUGACAUUAUUGUAAAAAGCACGAAGCAAGAAGACCAUAUUGCUGAUCUGCAGGAGACCUUCGCCAGCUUCAGACAAGCUGGUCUGAAGCUGAAUCCAGAAAAAUGUGUCUUCGGAGUGAAGAAGGGUAAGUUCCUUGGAUGCUUGGUUUCAACAAAGGGAAUUGAAGCUAACCCAAAUAAAAUCGAAGCUAUACUUCGAAUGGAACCACCAACCACAAGAAAGGGGGCCCAAAGAUUGACAGGAAGACUGGCUUCUCUUAACAGAUUUAUAUCCAGAUCAGCGGAAAGAAAUCUACCCUUCUUCGAGGUGCUAAAAUCAGCUGAAGUCUUUCAAUGGGGCCCAGCUCAACAAAAAGCUUUCGAAGAACUGAAGCAAUACCUGAUAGAUCUAACAACAUUAACUCCACCAGUGCCAGGGGCUCCUCUGUUGUUGUAUGUGGCAGCUUCGCACUCAGCAGUAAGUGCGGCACUUGUGCAGGAGAAGUUUGAUGGACAAAUCAAGAAGCAGGUCCCAGUAUAUUUUGUAUCUGAGGUCCUUAGUGUCUCAAAGAAAAAUUAUACAGAACUGGAGAAGGUGUUGUAUGCCGUUCUAAUGGCAUCCAGGAAGCUUCGGCAUUAUUUUCAGGCAUAUAAUAUUAUUGUUCCUUCUUCGCAGCCGUUGAAAGAUAUCAUGAGAAAUAAAGAAGCUACUGGUCGAAUUGGAAAAUGGGCUGCGGAGCUUAAUGAAUUUUACAUUGAUUAUGUGCACAGAUCCUCGAUCCAAUCUCAAGCUUUGGCAGAUUUUAUUGCCGACUGGACGCCAGGGGCUCAGGGUGAAGAAGCGAAUAAAGAUGCCGAAGCAUGGACAGUGUUUUGUGAUGGCUCCUGGGGAACCUUCGGAGCAGGAGCAGCUGCUGUUUUGGUUUCACCGUCCAAGGUUAAAACUUGCUACGCAGCAAGACUGGAUUUCAGCUGCACAAAUAAUAUUGCUGAGUACGAAGCCUUGCUCCUGGGUCUUCGGAAACUAAAGGCGAUGGGGAUCAGGAGGGCGAUCCUUAAAACUGAUUCUCAGAUUGUUUCGGGUCAUAUUGACAAAAGUUGCAAGGCUAAAGACCCGAAGCUUGAAAAAUACCUAGACACAGUCCGAAGGAUCGAAGCUUCCUUCGAAGGAUUUUCUGUUAAGAAUAUCCCUCGAGGACAAAAUGAGCAUGCUGAUUUGUUAGCCAGGUCUGCAGCACAGGGGCUGCCGCUACCUUCGGAUGUAUUCUUCGAAACAAUAAAGGCACCUUCGGUGGAGUUACUUGAAAGAGCAGUUCUUACUAUUUCCCCUGUGUACAGUGAAGAUUGGAGAACUGAAAUAAUUUCUUACCUUCAGGGCAACUUCCUAUCAGAUGACGAAGCUUAUAAUAAAAGAAUAGAGGCAAGAGCUCGUCCGUAUAUCAUUAUAGAAGGGGAGUUAUACAAGCAUGGAGUUUGUGCCCCGCUGCUCAAGUGCUUGUCUAGAGCCGAAGGUAUAGAAUUGAUGAAGGAGAUACAUGCAGGCCUUUGUGGAUCCCACAUCGGAUCCAGGCCGUUACUUGGAAAAGUGUUCCGUCAAGGAUUUUAUUGGCCGAAGGCAGCUUCGGAUGCAGCUGAGUUAGUUCAAAAGUGCGAAGGUUGUCAGAAAUGUGCAAGAGAUCAAAAACAACCUUCGUCUUUGACACAGCUAAUACAACCCAUCUGGCCAUUGCAAAGGUGGGGCCUCGAUCUGCUGGGCCCAUUACCACCGGCUCAGGGCAAUCUGAAAUAUGUUGUAGUUGCUGUGGAAUAUUUUUCCAAGUGGAUUGAGGCGAAGCCAUUAGCUACAAUAACUUCGGCCACUGUCCAAAAAUUUUUCUGGCAGAAUAUUGUCUGUCGCUUCGGAGUGCCGAAGGCUAUAACUGUAGAUAACGGAACACAAUUUGACUCCGAAGAAUUCAGGAAUUUUUGUGAUCAAAUUGGCACGAAGAUCCACUUUGCAUCAGUCAGGCACCCGGAGUCAAAUGGGCUUGUUGAAAGGGCCAACGGCAUCAUAAUGACAGGAAUAAUGAAGCUAAUCUUCAAUCAACCAAGGGGAAAGUGGCCAGAUCAGCUUACCAAAGUGGUAUGGAGCCAUAACACAACAGCAUCAAGAUCUACAGGCUUUACCCCAUUUAAGUUGUUAUUUGGUGACGAAGCAAUAACCCCGGAAGAGGCCAAAGCUGGAUCAAUAAGAGUGGUAGCUUCGGCAGAAUCAGGUUCCGAAGAUACUUGUCUCGUGGAAAAAGAUGCCUUAGAAGGGAUCAGGCUCCAGGCCGUGGAGAAUAUCAAUAAGUACCAGGCUGAAACAGUUAAAUGGCGAGAUAGAAAGGUCCGGCUAAAAAAUAUUGAGCCAGGACACUUGGUGCUUCGGAGAGUGGCCAAUCCGGAUACAGUGGGCAAAUUGCAACUGAAAUGGGAAGGGCCUUUCUUAGUAGCAUCUUCGUCAAGGCCUGGUUCGUACAGACUGAAGGACAUGGAUGGCAAUGAAAUUCCAAGAUCUUGGAAUGCGGAUGAGCUUCGGCGGUUUUAUGUAUAACUCGAUGUAAUUUUGACUUUUCUUUUCUUUUUCAUGGCACCCUUUUCCUUUCUAAAGGGGGAGAAAGGUUUUUAAUGGGGCCAUCACAUGUAAUUUUUCUUUUUAGUUUAUAAGAGCAAAAUCCCCCAAAGAUGUACAUGUAAAAGCUGAGAGCGCACCAUCGAGUGCCGAAACUGAAAAAGAGAAAAAGCUCCGAAGACGUCCCUAAGGGGAUGCAGAGCUUACAGCGAAAAGUCAACGCUGAUUCCGCCGAAAGUAAAAGGCGAAGAAGCUCCAAAGACGUUCCCAAGGGAAUGCAGAGCUUAUACCGUCUAAGUAAAAGACGAAGAAGCUCCAAAGACGUCCCUAAGGGGAUGCAGAGCUUACAGCGAAAAGUCAACGCUGAUAUUGCCUAAGUAAGAGGCGAAGAAGCUCCAAAGUCGUUCCUAAGGGAAUGCAGAGCUAAUGUGUGGUUGUUUCCAAGUAAUGGCUGACGAUAUGGCUUCGGACAUAUGCUUCGGACAUAUGCUUCGGACUUUCAUUCGUGCAUUACAUUACAUCAUAACAUUCGCAUGCAUAAGCAUUCAUUCAUAGCAUUUGUGUUCCCAAGUGGCUGCUUCGGCAAAAAAGCUUCGGAGAAGUGCCUUUUUAUAACUUGUUACGCUAUGUUGUGUGCGAAAGUGAAAAGUUCCGUUGCUUUGGCACAAAGAAAAGUUUCAGUAUAAGGGAGAAAUGGAUUUUUAUGAAUCGUUGUGUAAAAGAGAAGUAGUCUUUUAUGUCUUGCUAUGUAAAAGCUUCGGCAGAAAGAAGAAGUAGUCUUUUAUGUCUUGCUAUGUAAAAGCUUCGGCAGAAAGAAGAAGUAGUCUUUUAUGUCUUGCUAUGUAAAAGCUUCGGCAGAAAGAAGAAGUAGUCUUUUAUGUCUUGCUAUGUAAAAGCUUCGGCAGAAAGAAGAAGUAGUCUUUUAUGUCUUGCUAUGUAAAAGCUUCGACAGAAAGAAGAAGUAGUUUUUAUGUUCUACUAUGUGAAGAAAAGCUUUGGCAAAAAGAGGAAGCGACCGUUUAGGCUUCGUUGUGUACGAAAAGAAGGGAAGGUGUUUUUUCGCCUUCGGCUCAAAAUACUGAUUUCGUCCACAUCAAAGCGACUCAAUCGAAGGGUAAGGAUAUAUUACAAGGUAUGUACAAAGUUCCUUGAGAACAGUUCAAUUGUAUUCACAAAACUUGUUACAAAAGUAUCCUGAGUUUUUUCCUAUAGUACAUUUCUACUGAUCUUCAUUAAGCUUCAGCUUCGGCGACAGUUUCGGCGACAUAACUUAGACAUCAUCUUCACCUUCGUCAUCCUACAUAAAUCAAGGAAUCGUGAGUAAAAAUCAAGUGCAAAGAAAAAGGUAAGUACGAAGUAUUAUCUCUUACUGGUUCAAGAUGGCUUCGUGCUUCAUCUCCAGCCUUCUCCCGCCCGCCUUUUGUCCAUAUCAUUUUUAUAAAUCUGUUGGAGAUACUUCGGGCAAGGUCAGGCAUAUCAUCUAGGAUUGAUGGAGAUAAGGCGAAGUUGGGCCUGUUAACAACUUUUCCAUGUUCACAGCCAGCCUUCAUGAAGGCUGCAGCAGUCCCUCGAGAAGCUACCCAGGCACAGAAAUCACCAUGCCCAGCUAUGACUUCGUCGAGCUCGUCAAUUUCCCCCUCAAUGUGCUCGAAGGUUUGUGGUAGGUCUUCAGCUGAGGGGGUAAAUUUUUCGCUGCUAGCUCCAACCGAAUGAAAAAUCUUUCUCAGUCGCUGAAUGCACUUCUUGCUAAAUUCUAGGCAUUUUUCUUGAAGAUUUGUCAGUAAUUUUCUCAAAUCCGAAUUUUGCUGAGCUUCGGCUUCAAGUUUUGCAUUGAGAUCUUGUUUUUCUUGUUCGAACUGCUCAGACUGGCGGAGAAGCUUCGUGUUCAGUUCUAAUAUUUUUGCUUCAGCUUCCGCCAGUAAACCUUCGGCUGCCUGGAGUUCGAAGCUCUUUUUCUCAAAAGCAUCUGAUUGUUCCUUUAUUUUGUUUUCCAAAUUUUCAAUUAUAACUUCAUGCUUUUUAUCUUCAAGAUCCUGCUGCAUUUGCAAGGCCUUGCUCAAUAGCAUACUCUACACAAACACAACCUUCAUCAGACAUGUUUUUGUUAGGAGCAAUAAAAGUUAGGGGACAAGUCAUUUACCUUGAAGUUGGAGUAAAACAAACUACCAACGACAUGCUGUCGUCGGUAGCGGCUGAUAUCUGCUUCUAGCUUCGGAAAUCCAAUACUCUUGGACAGAGUACUAAUAACUCUGGCCCCUGUUUGGUCCCGAAUACACUUUAACUUCUCAUCAUCAAUACCUCCGAAGAGGAGUGCCCCAGGUUUGUAUCCGCAGGAUUGGGCAUACUCUGUAAGCUCUUCUAUUUCAGCUUGUGUUAGAUGUUCUCCAACUAAGUUUUGAAACGCGAAGGUUUCGUUUUUUGAAGCUUCGUCAGCAAUUUCUUUUCCUUUCUUUGACGCUACGGUCACAGUUUCUCCGACAGCAGUAGCAGCUUCUUCUGCAGCCAUGCCUAGCAGCAUUUGGUCAAUAUGUUCAAUUGUGCUCUCUAAAUUAAAAUCUUCAGCCGAGGUAGCUUCGGCGGCUGCGGCCUCCGAAGGUGCAAUUUCAAUAUCUGCUCCCUCUGCAGCCGCUCGUGUUUUUUGGGCCGAAGCUCUUGGCGGCGUUUUGUCAAUUACCUCUGUCACGGUAAUGAUUCUUUGUUUUUUCGCCUUGAUUGUUUUCCUUGAUUUCUCGGGCUCCUUGUCCUUCUGAAAAAACUUUGUCAGUUGAGGACCUAGUGGACUUAGCUUCGCAGGUAAGGAUUCAGUCAUUACCUUCAGAAUUUCCCCAACAACAGCAGCAGAAGGCGAUGCGGGGGGUUCUUCUGCUUCGGAUGUUUGUGGCUUCGGAGAAGAAGCUUUCUUUUUCUUCUGAAUUUUCUUCUUUAUUGGUUCUUUUUCACCUUCAUCUAAGGCUUCAGUUGCCAUUUUCCUUUUUUGGCCCCUGGCACCUUUGUUCAGCUCUUCGUAGUCUGGGUAUUCGAAGCCCAGGGCGUCCAAUACUCGAUUCAGCCUUCGUUUUGGACGGCUGCCGAAGGCUGCAGUCAUCAAUUGAUCUUCUUUCUUGGAAUAAUUACCAAGUAUUUCGUUGCACAUCACUUCAAUCGUAUCUAGCCACUCUUGGCAAGGAGUUUUAAAGAAUUUCUUAAAUUUGAAGUAGUAAGGCAAGCGUACAAGUUCACCCUUUUUCUUUUCCCCCUCCAGCUUCGGCAUUUCCCACUCUUUUACACUAGGGAAAACUUUGAAAGCCAAGAAUUCCUGGACCAGGUCCCUUGUACUGAUAUUUUCUGCAAUUAUUUUGAAUUCAUACAUUGCUUUUUGAGUUGCACCUUCUGGUAACAUGUGGCACUGGGGGCGGGUUUCUCCGAAGGUCAGUUCCAGUGGGCUUUGCACAAGCUUCUCUUUAUCAUCAUCAACCUUAACAUAGAACCAUUCCGAUUUCCACCCUGCUGCCCAUUUGCUUCGGUAGCUAAUCACAGGACACUUUGAAGUUUUCCGAUAAGCAAAAUUAUAGCAACCAAAGUUGUCAUGUAAUCCAUCUUUUCUAGCCUUUGUCUGAUAGUGCAGUUCAUGAACUCGGCAAAAGCUGUCCGCAAACGGUUCCACCGCCUGGCUUCGGAGUGCCCAAAUAUAAACACUAAGCCUAACGAUAGCGUUAGGGGUUAGCUGGUGAAAGUAGAUUCCAAAAUUAUUCAAUAUCUCUGCAAUAAUCCCAUGAAGGGGGAAUCUCAACCCAGCCUUUAAGAAGCUUUUAAAAAUAACAAUUUCAUCUUUCUCCGGCUUUGGGGUAGUGUCUUCUCCUCCGAAGCGUAGUAACUUCUUUUGAUUUUCAGUAAAAUAGCCUGACUUUACCAUCUUGGACAAGUCAGCCUUCGAAACAGUAGAUUUCCCGAAGUCCAAAUGGCUGGGUUUGCUUGGUGUGGCAAGGUGAUAAUCAUCUUCGGAGUCUGUUUCCUCAGCUUCUUCUCCUUCUGCUUCAGCGAUUGCUUGUUCUGCAUCUUCAGUAGGAAUCUUUUCCGAAAUCACCAGCCCGGACCGUUGCAUGGCUUCGGAGAUAGGGACGGUCUCCGAAGCUCCAGUUUCCUCCCCCUCGCGUUCAAUCCUAGCAGUAGAACGGAUUCUGGCCAUUUAACUAUGAACUUGUGAAACGUUAAUACUUUUUUCUCCGAAGCAGGUUUCAAGAUGGAGCUUCGUUCAAUUCUGACAAACAAGCUUCGGCGAUGGUUAAAAAUUUUGGCAGCAAAACAGUGCAAAUAGCAAUGAAUGCUGUGGUAACUUCACAACUACUUGUCAGUUUAUAUAGUGCUGCAGGUAAGAAGGCGAAGCGGCGGAAUUGUUACACCAGGCGCGCAGUAACUUGUACUCGCUGCGCAGUGGGCCGCAAGGAUCAAACAGUGACUCUGCAAGGUGGGACCGACACGCGCUCGGAAGUCGGAUCGUUUCUCCGCAACGAGCUCAGGGAAGGUGUUUUUUGGACCUUCGGCUUCCCGAAGCUGAAGAGGCUUUUUUCACGGGUCAAGCUCGUUACGAAGAACGAUCUAGCACCGCGAAAGGGGCUACUGUUGGGGUUGUGCUUCGGUGCGCCGAAGGUCUCACACGAAGAAACAGCUUCGGCUGAAGUCGUCUCCAAGAGAUGGCCGAAGGUCCCUUUUCAUGGAGCUUCGGCGUUUUAAACCGACAUAGAGAUAGAAUGACCUUUUUAUACAUAUAGGUCUGAGUCAAUACUGUAAACUUUCGCAAGGGACAUAAUUGUAAUUUGUCACAGGCUGCGACCUGUGCCUAUAAAUAGAUGAACAGUACCUCUGUACUGUUCACGUGAACCUGUCAUUUGCUUUUGCAUUACGCUUGUACUUCUGCCUUCCGCAGGACUGAAGGUACAUUUGUAAAUCAAAGUCAUUUAUAUUCAUUAAUACAAGUAUAGAUAAUUCUAUGACAAUAUUUAAAUGUUUAUUCCAUGAUUUAUGUGAAUGCUCCAUUCUUCGUUGUUAUGCUUACGAAGGUAUGUCCUUCGUAACCUUCGUCCGAGAUGCUUUAUAUCCCGAAGGGAUAUAUCGUUAUGGAGGACGAAGGACCUCAACACUUAACAUUUUUUGUGUUGCCUUGUUCUUAAUUCUUAGCAUUUGAGAACAAGUCCCCAACAGGGACUUAUCCUUAGCAAAGUUUUAAAGGCACAGAAAGGUGCCGAAGAUGAAAGCACCCGGAUAGCCUUCAGAAAUAUGUGAUCCGAAGUUAUUGAUCUUCGGCAUCAAGCCAUUGAAAAAAGACAAAAUUCUUCUUCCAUAAUUGAAAAGCUAUAGAAAAGACAAACUGAUUUGGCUCGAUUCUCUGAGGCAGACGAAAGAAUCUCGAAGCUUGAAAGGGAGAAAAAAAGAUGAUGCAAAGCACAUAGCUGACUUGGAAUAUGCUUUAUCUGCGCAAGUGGACCUUCAUAAGUCCGAAGUACUAAGGUUAGAGAAGAAUCUUGAUGAAGUUAACGAGAAUUUUGAUGUUGAAAAAGCGAAACGUGAAAUAGCUGAGACUGAGCAGAAUAGGGUCCAAAAGAAUAAUGAAGAGCUUCGUUAGUCGAAAGAAGGUUUUUCUAUUUCUAUGCAAUGUUGCAAUAAGCUGAAGAGCAUGUUUGCCAAGCUUAGUGCAUUCUCGAACGAACAAAAUUUUAUUCGCGGCGAUCCCGAAGGGGUGAUUAGGUGGAUAGAGGGUGAAGUCGAGGCUUUUGACGAAGUCCUCACUGGUAGAGGAGAUUUCUGUGCUUGUGUGGGUGCCUGAGGGGUUGUAUCAUUGCUUGAAAAAGUUGGUUGUGAACAUGUGAAGUCUGUAAUCAGCUAGAAUUUACAGUUUCGGCAGACGACAUCAAGGAACAUUUAGCUGAAGCUAUUGCCCUAGGUGGGAAAUUUUACUCUGAGGUCUGGGUGAACGGCGGAAGGGAGGUAGCGGACAAAGCUAUUUGACAAAGCGAAGAAGAGGUUAUUUUCGAUUCUAAAAUAUUUAUUACUCGAAUUUAUAGUUUAAUUUUUUGAUCAAUUCACACUUUGGCUUUUUAGACCCAUCGCACUUCAGAAGAGGCAAAGAGGUCUGAAGAAGCUGCAGAACGAGAAAGACGUAUAGGUAUAUGCUUCUGUUGAGCUUUAACUUCGUAACUAUUUAGCUUCGUACUUCUUAACGGAACGAUGUCUUCGUGCAGCGGAACUUUCUCCACCCCCAGAACCGUAUGAUUCGGAAGCUGAUCCAGCACUAAGGGGAAUCCUUGGUGAAUUCAAGGUGGUGAACGCAUCGAUAGACGAAGCUGUUAAUACUUUGCUAAACGAAGCUGCUGAGAAGGUUUUGAAAGAAGACGAUUGAACUAUUGUAAAGACUUCUCUAAUUUUGUGUUUAGUAAACAUGUAAAAACAUUCGAAAGCUUGUGUUUUGUUCUAUGUAAAUACAACUGUGUGUUGCGCUCAAUUGCAUUGAGCAGCAUAUUUCUUUGUGCAGCGUGAAAUCAAUGUACAUACCGUUUUUGAGCCGAAGGCGAAAAAACACCUUCCCUUCUUUUCACGCUUCAUAAAGAAAAAGUCAUUUUCAGUUGACGGUCUUGUAAGUUCAUAUAUAAUUCCAUUGCCAAAGUAAAAUCAUUGGCCCCUUCUUUGUGCUGUGCUAUUCAUAAUGAUGACUAUUGAAGAUGUAGCAUUUUUCCCUUUGUCUUGUUUUUAGUCUAUAGUUUCUAAGAACAUGAAUUUAGCUUCGAAGCUAAACCACAUUUGUAUAUGAAGGAGCAAUUCCCCUUCUUUUCUCUUCUUGGAUGAUGCAAAAUGAUGAAUGAUGGUAUGAUGCAGAAUGAUGUGAUGAUAUGAUGCAAAAGAUGCUUGAGUUAAAAUAAUAAUAGAAAUCAAAUUAUAAUAAGACUCUUCAUCCUCUUAGGAACGACUUUGGAGUCUCUUCACCUUUACUAGGUGGUAUUUUAGCUCUAUAUCCCCUUAGGAACGGCUUUGGAGCUUCUUCACCUUUAUUAGGUGGUAUUUUAGCUCUCCAUCCCCUUAGGAAUGACUUUGGAGCUUCUUCAUCUUUACUAGGUGUCAUUUUAGCUCUGCAUCCCCUUAGGAACGACUUUAGAGCUUCUUCGACAUUUUUUUACUCGACGGUGUAACCUCAAGUUUAUUACAAAGAGUCGAAGGUUGCACCUUCGCAAAUUGUUUUUAAGACGAAUUGUAAAGAAAAAGAAACAAAAAUUACAAUAGGUGUGCCUCAAAUUCUUGACCCAGCCCCUCUGUUGCUUCAGUAGAUAUGUUUGGAUUCUGGAACAGUGUUGUUGACUAUUCGAGCUUCGGACUCUUCUCUUGCUUCACGAUGCUGCUGGUCUUGAUACUGACCCUGAGGCUGCUGAUUGUUGAGUGUCCCUUAUCCUCUCCACAUGACAGGCAGAAUAGUCUUCUUGGUUGGGAGUUGUGUCUUCCUCCAAAGCUUCCUCCUCCUCUGCCUCUUGGGGCUGGUGGUCUAAAGGAACUCUAGUUACCCCUGUUGAUUGGGAGUUACUCUGCUGCACUUGGUUAUGACUGUUCUUAUCUUCAUUUUGACUUGGGUUGUGGAUUGUUCUAACAUGUCUUGGGUGAAACCUUCCCCCGAAGCCUCUGGUCAUCUCAGAGUACCUAUAAGCUUCUUCCCUUCUUUGUCGAAAAUCAUUACCAGCUCUGAUAUACUCAUCCAUUUUUAGAGAAGCUUCUCUAGAGUUUGAGGGGGUUUUGUAGCAAAAUACUAUGUCGUUGGACCUAGUCGAAGUCCCUUGAUCAUUGCUUCAAUAACAAUUUCAUUUGGCACCAUUGGUGUCUGGGCUCUAAGUCGUAAAAACCUUCGAACAUAGGCCGACAAAUAUUCCUCAUAGUCUUGUGUGCACUGGAACAAGGCCUGAGUAGUCACCGGCUUCGUCUAAAACCCCUGAAAGCUUGCGAUCAACAUAUAAUUCAGUUUCUACCAAGAUGUAAUUAUUCCUAGUGUGAGAGAGGAAUACCAAGUUUCAGCAACACUCCUGACCGCCAUGACGAAGGAUUUUGCCAUGACGACCGUGUUGCCACCAUAGGAUGAUAUGGUUGCUUCAUAGCUCAUCAGAAAUUGUUUUGGGUAUAAUUGACCAUCGUACAUAGGCAGCUGGGGUGGCUUGUACGAAGGUGGCCAUAGCACAACUGAGAACACCUAGAGGGGGGGGGGUGAAUAGGUGAUCCUGUAAAACUUAAACUUAUAGCCACAAAAACUUGUUAAGUGUUAGCACAAUAAAUGCCAAGUGGCUAGAAAGGAGUCUCAACAAAACACAAUACCACGAGAGAUCAAUCACAGAGACAACACAGUGGUUUACCCCGUGGUUCGGCCAAGACCAACGCUUGCCUACUCCACGUUGUGGCGUCCCAACGGACGAGGGUUGCAAUCAACCCCUCUCAAGCGGUCCAAAGACCCACUUGAAUACCACGGUGUUUUGCUUGCUUUUUCUCAAUCCCGUUUGCGAGGAAUCUCCACAACUUGGAGCCUCUCGCCCUUACAAUUGAAGUUCACAAAGAACACAGAGCAAAGGGGGAAUGAGCAACGCACACAAGACUUCAAAAGAUCAGAGCAACAACACGCACACAAGUCGCAACAAGAGCUCGCAACACAACUCAAAGAGUUCGCAACUCAACAAGAGCUCUAGAUGCUAUCACAAUGAAACGAAUGCGUGAGAUCGAUGUCUUGGUGCUUAGGAAUGUUGUAGGAAUGCUUGGUGUUCUCCUCCAUGCGCCUAGGGGUCCCUUUUAUAGCCCCAAGGCAGCUAGGAGCCGUUGAGAACAAAUCUGGAAGGCCAUCCUUGCCUUCUGUCGUCGGGCGCACCGGACAGUCCGGUGCACACCGGACACUGUCCGGUGCCCGAUUUCCUUCCUUAAACAGCGCAGUCGACCUUUGCAGAUCUGGGAGCCGUUGGCGCACCGGACAUGUCCGGUGCACAUCGGACAGUCCGGUGCCCCCUUCCGACCGUUGGCUCGGCCACGUGUCGCGCACGGAUUCCGCGGCCGACCGUUGGCCCGGCCGACCGUUGGCUCACCGGACAGUCCGGUGCACACCGGACAGUCCGGUGAAUUUUAGCCGUACGUCGUCGGCGAAUUCCCGAGAGCGGCCUCUUCGGCCGAGGCAGCCUGGCGCACCGGACACUGUCCGGUGCACCACCGGACAGUCCGGUGCACCACCGGACAGUCCGGUGCCCCAGACCGAAACAGCCUCUUGGCUGUACACAGCCAUCUCUUCUCUUUUCUUCUUCUUUCUGUUUCUAACACUUAGACAAGUAUAUUAGUACACAAAACCAAUGUACUAAGACUUAGAAACAUACCUUUGCUCUUGAUUUGCACUUUGUCCAUCCAUGAGCAUAAAUUCACAUUUAAGCACUUGUGUUGGCACUCAAUCACCAAAAUACUUAGAAAUGGCCCAAGGGCACAUUUCCUUUUCAAUCUCCCCCUUUUUGGUGAUUUAUGCCAACACAACAUAAAGCAACUAGAACAAGUGCAAUAUCACUUCAAAUAAAAACUCAAAUUCAUUUUGAUUCAAUUUGGCAUAUAUGGAUCAUCCUUUGCCACCACUUGGUUUGUUUUUGCAAAUCAAACUCAAAAUCCUAUCUCUAAGUCAAAUCCACUUGUAGAGACAUAAAGAGAGGUUUUCCAAAGAAAAUUGAUUCAAGAUUCCAAAAACUCCCCCUAUUUCCCAUAAUCAAUACUUCUCCCCACAAGAAGCCAACUUUUGACAAGAGAGACAACAAAAGAGAUUUGACAAACCAAAAGCUCUAUUCUACUGUUUUCAAAAUCUCUCAAGUGGUAGCUGAUCCAUUUAUCACUUUGGCCUUUAUUUUCUCCCCCUUUGGCAUCAAGCACCAAAACGGGAUCAAUCUUGGCCCUUUAACCCCAUUGCCUCACCAAAAUCUUCAAUUAAGAGCAAAUAGGCAAUAAGAGUUAAUAGAUGAACUUGGAGAAAUUACUCUUUUCAUCGGAGUGCAGUGGAAGUCUUUCA